CUGGUUCCCACGCAGGCGCGAUUUAUGCAAAAGAAGCCCAUUUUUCCACGCUGAUUUGCUUUUGUCCAACACAUCUGCGGAGUGUGUACGGUGGACAGGCCCUCGGGAGGUGAUCUUGUGAACACUUGCUGAGGAUCCUUGAUGCCGAGUGCAGGAUGUUUCCUACCAGUUUGAAGCCAUGUCUGAAGGGUUCCGAGGUGGAAUGUUCUGCGCUGGCCGAUGGCGGCGUCGGGGGGGGGGGGGCACUGCACCGCAUGCCCAUGGUGACGAGGAAACAGCUGACGCAGGCAACAACGGCAUAGACCAACAUCUGAAGGAUGACAGUGGAAAAAGUUUGGACACCCCUGCCAUAUGGUCUCCACAUCAAAGGUCCAUUUCCCUACGAAGACCAUGCAUCCUGCCCAUCAACCAAUGGCCUCAGCAGCCAAGUUUGAUCACUCUAUGGAGGCUGUACACCCCUCCCAUCCCCACACCGCUGGCCCAUCACCAAAUGUCCACACCUAUGGUCCUUCACCCGGCGUACACAAUAGCUUGCUACCUGAAUCCACCUGAGAAUAAAAAGGCAGCUUUCCUGGCACCAGACAGGAGAGAUGCAGGCAACCCAUCUAUUGAGGACACUAUCUGUUAUCAACCACAGGCAGAAAAAUCAUGGACGCCAUGUGAUGGAAAAAAUGUGGGCAGAAAAAGAAGGAAUUGAAGAAGUCCUCUUGAAAAUAGAUCCGGUCCAAGUCAGAGUACUUCAAACUCUCUGCGACUUGGUUGGAGACAAAUACAGCGACGGCCCUCCUCAACAAUCGGGCCAGCAAGAGCUCUUUCCUGAGAGCGGCGUAUUCAUAUCAUUGUUCCGCCUUGCUGCCAUGAGACAUGCUGCAGAGCCCAAAUGUAUGCCUUUAUUUGGACCUCUUUUUUCUACGUGUCAAAAUGCUGUCCCUUUUUGACGCCCUGGAAACAAACCUGCAGGAACACCAAAGCGCAUCCUUAAGCGGAAAAAAGUGGAAGGAAUCCUUAGUAAGUUUUCCCAAACAGAGGGUGUUUUCAGGCCAAAAUUGGGUCACAAUAAUGAAAUAGAAGUUCAAUAUGAGAAAUGUUGAUCCCUUUUCGAUUACAGCAGACUGGAAGCAUAACUGAAUGUUACAUCAUUACAAUUUGUUAUCCACUCCAAACUAGCGUUAUGAUGAGCAAUAUAGUCUGAUGUCCAUCAACUUGAAGUGUGGUUGUGUGUAUUAAUGGUUUUGCGUAAAUGAAGGCUUUAAAGGGCAAUAAAAAAGCAUUAAAUGAGGCAUUUAAAAAAGGGAAUAUGAUUGUAGGACAUGGCGGACAGUCAAUAUGUCAAACGGUAAAGGAAAAUGAACUUAAGAAGGUUACAGUCGUUUCUUUUUUGAACUGCAUACAAGAGGUAUUGUAAGGUGGGAACACGACAAAAGCACUGCUUCAAUCAAGCAAAAUGAAACAUCAACUUUUCCAUUCUUUGGUCACUGUAGGCGUGUAGUCCUUAACUGUGACACCAUGUCAGGAUAAUGGAGAAGCUGAGCCGACACGGAGUCGUUUAUUUCAAU